rnacentral:tRNA from 1 species
AAUGAAGUGCCUGAAUAAAGGAUUAUUGUGAUAGAAUAAAUUAUAUAAUUAUAAAUUAUCUUCAUUA